GGGGUAUGCUUCUUCGGGAGCAGAGACCGGCGCACGGGCUGUGUAACGCGUAUGCAAUCUACCUUUUACAGAGGGAUAGCCCUGAGAAAUUUGGAUUAAUACCUCAUAGUAUAUAGACUCGGCAUCGAGAUUAUAUUAAAGUCACAACGGUAAAAGAUGAGCAUGCGUCCCAUUAGCUAGUUGGUAAGGUAACGGCUUACCAAGGCUACGAUGGGUAGGGGUCCUGAGAGGGAGAUCCCCCACACUGGUACUGAGACACGGACCAGACUCCUACGGGAGGCAGCAGUGAGGAAUAUUGGACAAUGGGCGCAAGCCUGAUCCAGCCAUGCCGCGUGCAGGAUGACGGUCCUAUGGAUUGUAAACUGCUUUUGUACAGGAAGAAACACUGGUUCGUGAACCAGCUUGACGGUACUGUAAGAAUAAGGAUCGGCUAACUCCGUGCCAGCAGCCGCGGUAAUACGGAGGAUCCAAGCGUUAUCCGGAAUCAUUGGGUUUAAAGGGUCCGUAGGCGGUUUAAUAAGUCAGUGGUGAAAGCCCAUCGCUCAACGGUGGAACGGCCAUUGAUACUGUUAAACUUGAAUUAUUAGGAAGUAACUAGAAUAUGUAGUGUAGCGGUGAAAUGCUUAGAGAUUACAUGGAAUACCAAUUGCGAAGGCAGGUUACUACUAAUUGAUUGACGCUGAUGG
rnacentral:rRNA from 1 species